AUAUAAAACAAAAAACGUCUAUUAUUUCCUCAUAAAACGAAAGAAGCUUUUCGGACAACCUAAUAAUAACGUUACACGUAAUGUGUAUCGAUAAAUUAAAUAUAUUUCGACACUGUCUAUUUCCGCUUUCCAACGACGCUUCGCUUUUACGUUUUACGCCUUCUAUUUAAUUGGAAUUGCCUUAAGAUGAAAAUUAGAAAAUUAAAAGCGCGUGCGAUCUGUCGUCGACGCGUCUGGAAUUAUCCGGAUAGCGCACCGGAAUUAUCUACGUGAACACGCUGCACACGAUAGUGUCACGUGGAAGACACAAGAAAUCACUAAAUUACCUGAUCACCGGUGAUCUCGCGUCGAAAUUCGAACGUUUCGUAAGUUAAAAAAUUCGCACUUUUAAAUGCGACAGUAACAUUUAGUGUACGAAUCCAACAGAGUAACGGAUCAGAGUGUUAUAACAGAGUGUGUACGGUUGAGAAUCUUGCAAGACAGUGUGUCGAGUGCUGAUGUUGGGUAGGUUUUCAUGUUUGGUAGGUUUGAGCCCUCUGGAGGGGUCGUCGUUGGGCACCAGUCACAGGUGGCUAUCCUGUUGCUGUCUUCCCGGCCUGGGACACCAGCCGAUUAUCGUCUCGAUGGCUGUGGCCUACAGGAGGUUUGUCAGGCGUGGUUGUCCUGUUAUUGUUUUAUGACCCUGUGACAAUAGCCUUGCGAUGCUGUUUUAGGAGCAAACCUGCCUUCUAAAGUUUUUCUUCUUAUUAUUAUUUAAUUUGUACUUUACAAUUUGUUCAGCUGGACAAUUGGUAAAUGACCUCUAAAGUGUAUUCUAAACCAUGUGGAAGUAAAUCAGGAGAGUUGAAUCAAGAAAUCUUGCACGAAAAACAAUCUCGAAAGAUUGAAGCGAGUUAGAAGUAUUUCAAGCAAAUAAUAAGAAAAUUCGACAAAUCUAGAGAACUUGGAGAUCUUAAAAAAGAGAUAUAUAAAAGACCAUAAACUUUAUAUUAUUCUUCGAUACGAAUUAAAGAAGAAACUGGAAAAUAAGAGGAAGAAACCUCGAGAGAAGCUUAGAAAGCAGCAUAAGCGUGUAACUCGCGUGGUCGUUCGUGUUUCGAUAAAACUAUACGAUACGACAAGCGCCAAGAGGAAUCUCGUGACGAUGAACCACGCGAAAAUCACGCACCACGUCCUUCCGUGCUCAUAAAAAAGUUUCUAAAAUUAAUUCUAAGGAAUUUGACACGGCACGGCGCUUUAUCGAGCUUCUCGUCGGCGACCUUCACGAUGGCGAUGCUCCUGCACGAUUCUCUCGUCGCUCGUCGUUCAUCCUCUGACUCGCGAACAGAGAAAGUGGAAAUAAUAAGCGAAAACGUUCGGAACGCGAAGUUAAUGUAACGUAACCAGACGGGAUCAGAGAUGGAGCACGUGUAGGAUAUAAAUAAUUCAAAAAUGUGGUCGUGUCGCUCGUGCAAUGUUCCACUGUUCUUGAACGGAGAUACGGCGGUGUCUUUGUAAGCGCGGAAACUUCUACCUUCCGAUUCGUCGUUCAACCAGACGACAAACUCGUCUAGAAAAUUCCUUUUCCGCUUUGUAGAUAAGUUCCGGUAUCGCAGAUUCACGCUAUGUCGUUUCUCGUGUUUCGUACGCUAAACUUUUCUCCAAUUAAAGCUCGAAUGUAUAGACUUUCCAAUUGGUUGUUUACAGAUGUAGAUAUUUUGCUAUUUCUUUUUGUUUUUCCUUUUCUUUUUUUUUUUUAGAUCUGUACGUAUGCGCGUUUCAGCUUAAAGAAAUAGAAUUCACCUUGAAAUCUUUGAAACGCCUUCGCUUCCGGACCGGACACACGCGCCACGCGACGUACCAUUAGAAACCGUUUAAUCCUACCUGACGAGAUUUUUUCCACCUUCUCGUCGUCUCAGCUCUUCCGAUUACAGAGAAACCUAGAAACGUUGCAACGAUAUCGAUAUCGGUAUCUAAUUAAAUCUGAUCUUCUUUUUCUUUUGUAUAUCUCUUGAAGAAAGAAGAAGAAAAGCUAGAAGAAAAGAAAAGUUUUUAGAUAAGUUUAUAUUUACGAUAUAAUAUUAUACUAACACGUACAUAACGACGCGUGCAACAACGUACACGAUGAGAUAUUUAUCCUGGCGGUAAUUUUCGAGCCACCGUGAUAAUCGUAGAAUUAAACGCGACGUCGUAAAAAUUGGGCUGUCGCAGCUGUAGUUUACGAGUAUCGCGCGAGUUUACAAUUUUAGAAUUAGAGUGGCGCGUGAAACAUUCUGAACAGAUAAUCGUCGAAUUUAUUACAGUUCGAUGUUUCCAACGCUCGCAGCGAAUGUUUCUCGCUGCGUUCGCUAUUCUUUGAUUUCUUCUUAAUUUCACGAACUGCGCAGCAAAUUCGACAGUAGCUGGCAGCCACCACCGAAUCCCGAAGUAAUUAGGCGAAUCAGCGUCAACGUGCUUACAUAAUCGCUGUAGAUUCGAGUCGUAAAACGUUGCGAGACGACACCCUCUGCCACCUCAAACGACCAAUACACGAACACGCAAACGACAAGCUCAAUUGCACCGAAUUGCUUCGCAACGAGAAGAGGAGGCAGUCGUUAUAAAUAAAUUUGAGGCAGCUCGGUGCGUCUCGUAGAAAAAUCUCGACCGUCUAUUCACGAAAGAAGCACAGAGUUUCUAGCGUUUUUCGCGUGGUUUCUCGUGCUCGAGCCUGAUUAUUUAUAGAUGGUAGAAUUUGCAUCGAGAAAGGCAAGUUGUCAUAUCAUCGAUCUUACGUCGAUAAUUUCGUAAGAUCGUCAAUAAUAAUAUUUUUUAAUAUUCUAAUUUCUAAUAUUCUAAUCUUCUGAUAUUCUCAAUCGUUAGACGACAAGCGAACGUCUGACGAAGUGACAAAAUGAUAAUCAGAAAAUUGUUUCCACCGUCCGGGAACAACAAACGACUUGACGCUAUAAUUGAACGAAUAUUUUAAUAAUUUAGAAAAAUGCAAAUAAAUCGGAUAUAACAUUAGGACGUUUUGAUAUCGAGGUGAAUAGUAACGAUCGAUGAAAAUUUAUCGAGAUAGCGAACGAAAGAAGGAACAGUGAAAUUAACGAAAUACGAGGAAUAUGGUUUAUUUUUCGUAAGAGAAUUCGAGUAACCUCGGACGAUAAAAAGGGGAAGUUAUGCGAGCCAUCUGGAGAAGGUCGAGUGCUGGCGCCUAACCAAGGUCACGGAUAGAGGAAUUUACGACCUUUCGAGUGUUCGACGAACCCUCUUUUGCGCCUCCGCUUCAAAUACCUUUCACAGAUUUCACCUGCGUACUAUUAUAUAAAAUGUUCCAUUGUUGAUUGUAAACAGAAGUUAGUACGUGGAACUUAAUGAAUAGAAAGUGUCAUUCAUGGCUCGAUUUAAAGAAAACAUUUUGGCUUUGUGUGGCUCGUUAAGCGUUUCGCUCUGCUAUUAUUAUUUUCUUCACGGCCGAUACAAGUUUACACACUUACGCUUAUGUAAACAAAUAAUUCGUCGUUCGAAGGAUUUAUUUAUAAAGCGGCGGAUUUUAUUUUAUUUAUCGAAGGAACAUCCGCCGGUGAAAUAAAUUUUUCUUUUUUCCUUUUUUUUUUUUUUUUUUGAGAUAGAAAUAUUGAUUUAUUUAUAGAGUAGCAGAUUUUAAUCUAUUCAUCGAAGGAGUAAUUUGCCUCGAUGAAAGAUAUCGAUCUUUUAACAUUUAAUACAUCUUGAUUUAAUAUAUCGAUUUCUAAAGUACAUAACACAUUUUGUCCCAUUGAAAAUGUAUUUUAUUCCUAUCCAAAUGUAUAGUUUAACAUUUAUAUAGAAUAAUGAAAUUUCACUUGGUUCAAUAUAUAACGUGUAUAAAAUACACUAAUUUUUAUCUUCUUCAAAUUUACGAAAUAAUUUCUUUCGUAAACAAUUUCCCCAAUCCACGAAUCACCCGAAAAUGAAAUAUUCCAAGUUACGUAUUUCCUCUUACUAUGCCUUUCUCUAUCUUUGCCCGGUAAACACCAACAAGAUAUACAUUAUACACUUUUGUCUCUCCUUAUUUGCAUAAAACAAUACAUUAUAAAAUAGCCUACCUACUAAAAAAAAAAAAAAAAAAAAAAAGAAAAAAGCAAUUGCAACCCACAGGUUUCUUCGAAAAUGAAACAUUCCAAGUUACAUAUUUCAUCUUAUCGCGUGUCACUACUUCUUCAUUAGUCACGGUAAACGUUUCAAUUUCUCCGAGAAACUGUGAAACGAUGAGCCAGUUCAUUCUACGAUGAUGGUUCUAUGCAUUUGGACGGAAAUAUUCACACAGAUUGGACACGGAAUGGUCGCCUUCUAUUUUGAAUGAGUAAGUGGCAGCGAUCCAGGUAAGAGCUAAUCGUUAAUCGCGAAUACCAUUCGUGACUAAUGCAACCAUCACUGCCAAAUCUCUCUCUCUCUCUCUCUCUCUCUCUCUCUAUACAUUUAUAUAUAUCAAAUAGCCGGUAGCUACGCUUGAAAAUGGUCGUAUCUCGAUGGACGCGUGUCGUUGACACUGUGCUUAGCGUCUCGACGUUAUUGUUUCGAAUUCCUCGAGUUGCUGCCCGCUGGCAUGCACCGUCCUCUUGGUGGGUGUAAAUUUCUAUGCAGCGUGACGAGUCGUUCAAUGUUCAAGUUGCAAUUUCACGCACGAUGCUCGCACGUGUCGUUCUGUUGCAAGACGAGCGUAUCGUAGGUAGAGUUGAAGCUUUGCGCACAGUGUUCGCGAGACGCGUUUAAUUGCGCUGAAAUAGCAGUUGUGACGGUAAUUACAGAAGGAAACGGGAAUCUUUGGUCGAGUUUCCAAUUUGAGAUCCCCCUUCAUUUUAUCCUGAAGUUUCCGCGUUUUCGAGUGUUGAAUUAUCGAACCGUGGAACUUGUACGAAUGUCCAGAUCGACACGAGUCUCGAGUCUCUCGGCUCUGAAACUUGAAUCCUCGAGUUCUUGACUUUCAAAAUCUCAAUCUUUGGAUCUUUCAAUUCUCUUUUCCAUCCUUAGAGUUUAGGAAAGUUCCUUCGAAUUUUUGUUAUUUACUUCGUUGCGACGAUCUUUCGAGUUUCGAGCCGCUGGUCUCCGCAGGAACCUGCGAUCCUUCGUUUCUGCGAAUUCCUGGAUUUUCGAACUAUCGAUCCUUCGAUCCUACGAGUCGUCAAAUUCCAAGCUUUCGAGUCUCCGCUUGCUGGACUCUGCGAGCCUAGUGACAAGACGCUCAGUCGAUUCGAAAACAACCGGAAAUCAAACGAAACAACUUGUCAAAUUUGUCGAUAUUUUCGAACUAGAUUUAUAGGUUUGUCAAAGUAGAUAUAUCCGUAGAAUUUGAUACAGCAAGAAUAGUAGAGGAGGGUUUACGAUAAAAGCGACUGAAAGAAGACACGUUUCGACGUUGAUGACAAGACGUCGACGAAAAUAUCGACGACGCGUCAAACAGGGACCGGACUUGUCGAAAUAACAGACGAAUCGUGGCGGUAGCUGAAAGACAAGCGGACGUCGGGCAGACGCGGAAACCGCGACGAUGGCUGUACGCUAUUUAGGGACCGCGAACGAUAUUUUCGCUCUUCCACGUCACGUCUUUGGCUUCCACGAGAUGCUUGAUCGACGAUCUUUCGUACCGCGUGGCUUUUCAUUGACCGACUUUGCAUUUGCUGUGGCGGAUAUCCGUUCCUCGAGAUAAAUAAAUAACGUGUUUCCAAAUAGAACAGAGUGUUCUGUGAAUGGAAACCUCUGCCGAUCGUACGAUCGAUUCUGGAAACUCGCGUAAAACCUGAGAAUCGAUGAAACAGACUAAGACUACAGAAGAAUAUUUUUACGAAUAUCUCGUAAACGUUCCUGUUUCCGAUUCAAGGAUAACUUGAACAAUUCUGAACAAUGUCCGAUAAGUCGUACGACAUCGAAUUCGUAGGAUGGAGAACUUUUUCUUAAGUAAAUCGAUGUUGCCUUUUUAUCGAUCGAUUUUAAAGUCAGAGAAUCGUAGAAAAAUUACAACUGCGAUCGAAGUAUGCGAGUCCAAUCUGUUUUGUGCCAUGACGUCCGACUACGAUGUCUUAUUCCACUUAUGUAAACGCCGAGACUCGUUCCCCAUUUGUUUAAAGACGAGAAGAAACACGGCUAUUCCACUUUUACGAUCCGCGGAACAUUCUGCCGAACUCGUCUGAUCACGAUCCUUAUUCUACUUAAUAGCUCAAGGUCAGAUACGGUUCCUAUUCUACUGGCCUGAUCUAAAUCAACGGAAACUCCGCUUUUUUAUUUAUUUCUCUUUUAGCGAGAUUUAAUUUACAGUUACAGGAAAAUUAUUAGAACGUUGGUGCGGGUAUUCUUCUCGACUAUUUGAUCGCUCGAUCAGAUUAUAAUUAAUUUAAACGUAGCACGCAAAUCGAGACGAAUAGUUAAUUCUGUUUUACGCAGUGAAAAAUGAAAGAAAGGUUUCUGGAGCAAUAUCUUUAUUUUACUGCGAAUACAGUUUCGUUACGUGUAUGUAUAUAUUUAUAUAUAUAUAUAUAUAUAUGUAUAUUUGGCUUAACAAUACGUUCAUAAAUACGUGAAUAUAACAUUUACAUGCGUUUCCCACCUUUUGCUUUUUAGUCUGUUCAAAUAUACAUAAAUAGCGCUAUUCGAUGCUCGACGAGCGACGAUAGAAAUCGUCUGAUUGAUCAAAUAAAAGAUACGUCUGAUAUUAAUAGAAAAGAGAAACGUUAGAACAGAGUAUAAUGAGACUAGCGAGUCAAUCGUUCAAUUGCAUUUAUUCAUUGAUCACGUUCAAAGUAUCCUUUCUUUCCUUUUCUUCUCUUCUUUCUUUUUUUUUUCUUUUUUUUUUUUAAUAUACCUCGUUCAGAUUG